GAAUGGAUUUGCAUGCUAAACGCCGAGGCGGCUCGGGGCUGCAGGCUCCACCCUGACCCGCGCGCUCCGGGGGGCGACCACACUGUCACCGCCCUCCGGCGCCGGGACCCAGCUCUCCUUCCUCUUCCGCAGUGGGUCAGAGCCUCGGCGCUUCCCCGGAAGGCUGUUCUCUAAAGCGAUCGUCUGUGUCCCUUUCUCGGCCGACCGCAGCCUGUACCCAGGGACUCCAGAAGGGCUCGGAAACUUUCUGGCAGAGUGGGAAAGGUUUGGUAGCCUGCGGCCUAGCGCCCUCUAGACCUACCCGGCUUUCAACUGUGCAGAGCGCUGCGGUAGAGGAUCCCCGUGUCUCUGGAAGUUCUGAAGAGAGACACAGCUCUGGAGGGACAUAGGGGUCACUCCAACCCAAAGGUUUUCACGUGACUGCAAUAUAGCCUCAAAAAUAUCCCUAGAAACCACACGCGAAGGCUUCGCGAGGAUGCUAUGAUAGUUUACUUUCCGAGUGCAUAAAGUCUUCGGCCAGGAAACCUCAACACAAUACUACAGCACUACAGCAAACAGAAAUGGCUAUGAGAGGAAGUUGGGUGGGGAAAGGUGGGGCUUCUAGUUCGUUCCUGUGAAGGCUUCCUAGCGCCUCGAAAGCGGAAUGUGAGGCCUCGGGUUCCUUUCCGCCAUCUGUGAAUCGCACCAGAAAAUUUCAGUCUAAGGCAGUUCUUAGUAAUAUUUUAUUUGUUCCCUGAAAUUUUAAUACACAUACACAAGAAGCCGGCUUUCUGGUCCUGGGUAGCGAUUCUAGAGGUCCAGGAGCACUGGUUUUCCAGGUCCCUCCCUCCCUCUUUCUCUUCUGUACUUAAAAAGACCGUGCACCAGAGAAGCGGAUGAGUAAGUUCAAAGGCCCUUUAGAUCCAGCCCUGGUCUCUAUGACCUCCUACUUCCUGUACUUUCUCAGUCAUGCGCAAAUUGCAGCCCACAGAACUCCACCUCUGCCAGGGAGCCUUCCCUGGACUCCCCGAGGAAUGAGACAGAUCGCUGUCUUCAAAUUUCCAUCUUGUUUGCACUAGGCUCAUUCUGAAGUUCCAGAUUUAUUCUGCCGGGCCCCCCUCCGAGAUCCUUCCCGUCUUGAGGACUUCACUACCUCUGCCACUCCCGUGGACCACGCCAGCAUUUCCUCCUGCUUGACUGCCUGGGGCUCCUAACUGCUUCUAACCAGCACCCAUCAGUCUUUCAUCACUGGACCAAAAGGAGGAUCCGAUCGGACCCUACAUCGGGCGUGUCCCUCUGCUCAGAGCCCUACAGUACCCACCCAGCUCACACAAGAGCAAGACCAAAGUCCUCCCAGUGACCUGAAAGACUGCCUGCCUGUGUCAGACCCACACUUGCUUCACUGGCCCAUCCCUCAACACUUUGCAAAGAAUGUGCUGGGUGUGACCUCACAGACUUCUUUUUCUCUUUGCCUAAAUGGCUAGUGCUUCCCCUACACUGUGUACACCUCUUUUCUCCUGACCUUCCCCAGGUCUCCUUCCUCCAUCACUCUGUGUGAUGAUGCCCAGCUCUAUUCUCCAAGCUUCCCUGCCUUGCCUGUUGAAAGUCUCUCUCCCCGUGUCUUAAUGUAAGAUCCAAAGAGUUCAGUUAUGUUUGUCAGCUUCGUUCAUUGCUAUAUCCCUAGUACCUAGAACAUGGCUGGGCUUUUAUAAUUAUGUGAUAUGUUGCUCAUUCACUUAUUCCAUCAAUAUUCAUUCAGGGUCUAUCACUGUGUUCCAGAAAGUGUGUUAAAAAUAAUCACUGCCCUCUUAGAGUUUAUAGUACACACACACACACACACACACACACACACACACACACACACACACACUGUUCAGGUAGUGAUGAACAUCACAAAAACAUUUGUGAAGUGAAAUAAAUGGAUAAAUAUAAGGAUAAUACAUUAUGGAGAGUAUCCAGGAAAGGUGUCUCUGUGAAAAUGAAAAUGGAACAGAAAAGAGAAGGUCAUAGCACGUUCUGGAAUAGUAGCAUUCUAGGUUUAUGUUAAACAAGUCCAAGGGGUCUGUGUGGGGAAUGAGUUUGUCUCUCAGUACAAGUUUAUGCGCAGUGUCAUCCACUUGUAUCCUGUAAACACCAAAGUGUCCUUGACGUAGUCACUGACUACAAACUGGAGAGAUGCUGUGUGCCUACAACAGGCCACAGUCAUUGUUCCAUACCUCUAGCGAUGACACAUUCAUCCACCUCAAGCUACUUCCUGCGGAGGAGUCCCUAGCAUUUCCUACAGAAGCCAGGUUGUGUAUGACAGACAUUAGUGGAUUAAACGAGAUUUGAGACACAAAUAUUUGAGAA